AUUGAACGCUGGCGGCAGGCCUAACACAUGCAAGUCGAACGAGUGCCGGACGGGUGAGUAAUGUCUGGGAAACUGCCUGAUGGAGGGGGAUAACUACUGGAAACGGUAGCUACUACCGCAUACCAUCGGAUGUGCCCAGAUGGGAUUAGCUAGUAGGUGGGGUAAAGGCUCACCUAGGCGACGAUCCCGAGCUGGUCUGAGAGGAUGACCAGCCACACUGGAACGGAGACACGGUCCAUGCUCCUACGAGAGGGAGCAGUGGGGAAUAUUGCACAAUGGGAGGAAGCCUGAUACAGCCAUGCCGCGUGUAUGAAGAAGGCAAUCGGGUUGUAAAGUACUUUCAGCGGGGAGGCGUUACCCGCAGAAGAAGCACCGGCUAACUCCGAGCCAGCAGCCGCGGUAAUUC
rnacentral:rRNA from 1 species